rnacentral:rRNA from 1 species
CCUACGGGAGGCAGCAGUGAGGAAUUUUCUGCAAUGGGCGAAAGCCUGACAGAGCAACACCGCGUGAGGGAAUGAAGGCCUUCGGGUUGUAAACCUCUUUUCUCAAGAAAGAAAAAAUGACGGUACUUGAGGAAUAAGUAUCGGCAAACCCUGUGCCAGCAGCCGCGGUAAUACAGGGGAUACAAGUGUUAUCCGGAAUUAUUGGGCGUAAAGCGUAUACAGGUGGAAAAAUAAGUUUUUUGUGAAAUCUCAAAGCUUAACUUUGAAAGUGCAAAAAAUACUAUUUUUCUAGAGUUUGAUAGGAGUUAAGGGAAUUUCCAGUGAAGCGGUGAAAUGCGUAGAUAUUGGAAGGAACACCAAAAGCGAAGGCACUUAACUAUGGCAAAACUGACACUCAAAUACGAAAGCUGGGGGAGCAAACAAGAUUAGAUACCUUGGUAGUCCCAGCUGUAAACCUUGGAUACUAGAUAUUGGAUAAUAUUAUUCAGUGUCGUAGCUAACGCGUUAAGUAUCCCGCCUGGGAAGUAUGCUCGCAAGAGUGAAACUCAAAUGAAUUGACGG